rnacentral:rRNA from 1 species
AUUGAACGCUGGCGGCAGGCCUAACACAUGCAAGUCGAGCGGAUGAAGGGAGCUUGCUCCUGGAUUCAGCGGCGGACGGGUGAGUAAUGCCUAGGAAUCUGCCUGGUAGUGGGGGAUAACGUCCGGAAACGGGCGCUAAUACCGCAUACGUCCUGAGGGAGAAAGUGGGGGAUCUUCGGACCUCACGCUAUCAGAUGAGCCUAGGUCGGAUUAGCUAGUUGGUGGGGUAAAGGCCUACCAAGGCGACGAUCCGUAACUGGUCUGGGAGGAUGAUCAGUCACACUGGAACUGAGACACGGUCCAGACUCCUACGGGAGGCAGCAGUGGGGAAUAUUGGACAAUGGGCGAAAGCCUGAUCAAGCCAUGCCGCGUGUGUGAAGAAGGUCUUCGGAUUGUAAAGCACUUUAAGUUGGGAGGAAGGGCAGUAAGUUAAUACCUUGCUGUUUGACGUUACCAACAGAAUAAGCACCGGCUAACUUCGUG